rnacentral:rRNA from 1 species
CGAACGCUGGCGGCAGGCCUAACACAUGCACGUCGAACGAACUCUUCGGAGUUAGUGGCGGACGGGUGAGUAACACGUGGGAACGUGCCUUUAGGUUCGGAAUAACUCAGGGAAACUUGUGCUAAUACCGAAUGUGCCCUUCGGGGGAAAGAUUUAUCGCCUUUAGAGCGGCCCGCGUCUGAUUAGCUAGUUGGUGAGGUAAAGGCUCACCAAGGCGACGAUCAGUAGCUGGUCUGAGAGGAUGAUCAGCCACAUUGGGACUGAGACACGGCCCAAACUCCUACGGGAGGCAGCAGUGGGGAAUCUUGCGCAAUGGGCGAAAGCCUGACGCAGCCAUGCCGCGUGAAUGAUGAAGGUCUUAGGAUUGUAAAAUUCUUUCACCGGGGACGAUAAUGACGGUACCCGGAGAAGAAGCCCCGGCUAACUUCGUG